CAGCAGCCGCGGUAAUACGUAGGGGGCAAGCGUUAUCCGGAUNNACUGGGUGUAAAGGGAGCGCAGACGGCACUGCAAGUCUGAAGUGAAAGCCCGGGGCUCAACCCCGGGACUGCUUUGGAAACUGUAGAGCUAGAGUGCUGGAGAGGCAAGCGGAAUUCCUAGUGUAGCGGUGAAAUGCGUAGAUAUUAGGAAGAACACCAGUGGCGAAGGCGGCUUGCUGGACAGUAACUGACGUUCAGGCUCGAAAGCGUGGGGAGCAAACAGGAUUAGAUACCCUGGUAGUCCACGCCGCAAACGAUGAAUACUAGGUGUUGGUGGGCAAAGCCCAUCGGUGCCGCCGCAAACGCAAUAAGUAUUCCACCUGGGGAGU
rnacentral:rRNA from 1 species